GUGGGGAAUAUUGGACAAUGGGGGGAACCCUGAUCCAGCCAUGCCGCGUAUGUGAAGAAGGCCUUUUGGUUGUAAAGCACUUUAAGUGGGGAGGAGGCUUACCUGGUUAAUACCUAGGCUAAGUGGACGUUACCCACAGAAUAAGCACCGGCUAACUCUGUGCCAGCAGCCGCGGUAAUACAGAGGGUGCGAGCGUUAAUCGGAUUUACUGGGCGUAAAGCGCGCGUAGGUGGUUAAUUAAGUCAAAUGUGAAAUCCCCGAGCUUAACUUGGGAAUUGCAUGCGAUACUGGUUAGCUAGAGUAUGGGAGAGGAUGGUAGAAUUCCAGGUGUAGCGGUGAAAUGCGUAGAGAUCUGGAGGAAUACCGAUGGCGAAGGCAGCCAUCUGGCCUAAUACUGACACUGAGGUGCGAAAGCAUGGGGAGCAAACAGGAUUAGAAACCCUGGUAGUCC
rnacentral:rRNA from 1 species